UACAGAGGGUGCGAGCGUUGUCCGGAAUCACUGGGCGUAAAGGGCGCGUAGGCGGCGCGGUAAGCGUGCGGUGAAAGCCCGGGGCUCAACUCUGGAACUGCAUUGGAUACUAUUUGACUAGAGGGUUGGAGGGGGGACUGGAAUUCUCGGUGUAGCAGUGAAAUGCGUAGAUAUCGAGAGGAACACCGGUGGCGAAGGCGAGUCCCUGGACAACUCCUGACACUGAGGCACGAAAGCUAGGGGAGCAAACAGG
rnacentral:rRNA from 1 species